rnacentral:rRNA from 1 species
GUGGGGAUGACGUCAAGUCCUCAUGGCCCUUAUAGGUGGGGCUACACACGUCAUACAAUGGCUGGUACAAAGGGUUGCCAACCCGCGAGGGGGAGCCAAUACCCAUAAAGCCAGUCGUAGUCCGGAUCGUAGUCUGCAACUCGACUACGUGAAGUCGGAAUCGCUAGUAAUCGUGGAUCAGAAUGUCACGGUGAAUACGUUCCCGGGUCUU